GUCCUAGUAUUCUAUGAUUCUAUAAUAAGAUCACUCAUUUAUCGAUCUCAUAUAUUGUAUUACAUACAAAAAACUGUACUAAAAGAACAUUAAGAUCCCAAAGUCAAACUCUUUAAGAGUUAGGAAAUGCCAGAAUGAAGAUUGACUGUAUAAGUUUAAUUUAGCUCCCUUAUACUAACUCAACCCCACUAUGAUACAGACUUGAUUUAUAUGCUUGAUGCUGCACAUCAAGGAUCAAUGGAUCCUUUUCCACAGGAGCUCAUUUACUGUAUAUGACAGACCUUUUCUGAGGAUCAGUCAGGGUUGUGAAAUGAAAGAGGCUUCUCUGUAUGGCCCUGCCUCCUUUGUUGCAGAAGUCAGAAGAUAUGUAGUGAAUGAAUAAGGUGAUUACAAGAGAAAGGCUGGUCUCAUAGUUAAGGCAGUUGAGUACUGCCUGGUAAGACAAAAUUCUACUAUCCCUGUCUGUGCUGUGGCUGUAAACAAACUUUAUGAGACUGCAGGAAACGUGGCCACACCCCAUUGUAAGUGGACAACUGGCUAACUAAAACUAUGUCAAACCACAGACUAGAGAGGUUCAACCUGUAUCUGAGGUUCCAUUCCAGACUUUUGAGGGGACUCUGUUCUAGCAGGUUAAGAUACACUGAUGAUGGAAACGGUAGAAUCUAUAGUACAGACACAACUCAAGUGGUAUCAUUACUGUGUCAUCUAUUGUGAAAGCUCUACAUUAGUUAUGGGGUUAAGCAGUAUUUUCUGUUUAAAAGUCCACUCUUCGAAGGAUUCCCCCUGAGAAGAGCAAUGCAGCUGAGUAACUAGCUCAAAAGAACUAAGAAGAAAAGGCAAUUUGAGAGAAACAUCCUUCAGCUUAUUACAUAAGAAGACAUGAUGAACAAGGAAAACAUUCCUAGUUGCUUGAGUACAGAUAACUGUCGAUUGUAGCUUCAGACAUCAAUAGCAUAAUCACAUCUGAAAUCUUUGAGAAAAGACAAAGAGGUAACCUUAAGCGAUGACAACUAUACACAAGGACUAUCUCUGUUUUCAACUUCAUUUUA